rnacentral:rRNA from 1 species
AUUGAACGCUGGCGGCAGGCCUAACACAUGCAAGUCGAGCGGACGAAGGGAGCUUGCUCCUGGAUUCAGCGGCGGACGGGUGAGUAAUGCCUAGGAAUCUGCCUGGUAGUGGGGGAUAACGUCCGGAAACGGGCGCUAAUACCGCAUACGUCCUGAGGGAGAAAGUGGGGGAUCUUCGGACCUCACGCUAUCAGAUGAGCCUAGGUCGGAUUAGCUAGUUGGUGGGGUAAAGGCCUACCAAGGCGACGAUCCGUAACUGGUCUGAAAGGAUGAUCAGUCAGACUGGAACUGAGACACGGUCCAGACUCCUACGGGAGGGAGCAGUGGGGAAUAUUGGACGAUGGGCGAAUGCCUGAUCAAGCCAUGCCGCGUGUGGGAAGAAGGUCUUCGGAUUGUAAAGCACUUUAAGUUGGGAGGAAGGGCAGUAAGUUAAUACCUUGCUGUUUUGACGUUACCAACAGAAUAAGCACCGGCUAACUACGUG